UUUCCCGGGCCAGGCAUUCUAGGAUGGCACCAAAUCCCCGCGGAAUUCUCAGGUGCGCGUCACCGAACGGCACCGACAUGGUGACAACUAACAGAAAUUCAGAACGUUAGCUAACUAGCUAACUGGCCUCUGAUACUAACCGGCUAGCAUUAGUGACUCGCAGGUCAGGCAUACUUGAUGACUGCGUACUCGGAAUUUGUGCUCAUCUUGCGGCUGACCUCUCUGGGCUGCGGCAGGUGAAGCCUGUCAGCUGAGCACGAGGCCUGCCAGUGACCCCUGGGUCCGCAUCCUCGCCACUGAAAUACAGCAGAAUGGAACCACACUGUGCAAUUUGCUGUUUUUUCUGCUUUGGACCCAACUUGGACUCACUUCAGAAUCAACUGAAGCAAGCACAGCCUCAUCUAUCAGUGAUGUGAUCGACCGUGAUCAGUGCCCGGAGGGAACGUACGUCUCCCACCAGCUUUGUUUGGAGUGCCCCCCUGGUCAUUUUUGUCCUGGGAAUGUAUCUGCGGCUCAGAGAUGCCCAUCAGGAACAUUCAAUCCAUAUGCGGGGAAAGGCAGGAUCAGUGACUGUAAGCUUUGUUUUCCAGGGCUGAUAGGCUCUGACGACCGAGUGGACUGCAGGCUGUGCCCAGCGGGUUUCUCCUGCUUUCCAAUGGACGGGAGUCUCUUAUUAUGCCCGCCUGGGCGGCAUUCACCAGAAGGGGUCCUUCACUGUCUACCGUGUCCUAUGGAUUCUAUAUGCACCUUUGGGUUUGCACACAAGUGUGGGCCUGGCGAAGAGCCGAACUCAGAUCACACUGAAUGCAAUGUCUGUCCUCCAGGCUUCUAUUCCAGUGUGUGCACUAUCCACUGCCUUCAAUGUCCUGCAGGGAAUUACUGUCCAGAAAGUGGUACGUCCCAACCGCUCACUUGUCCACCCGGCUGGUACUCCACACCGGGGCAGACUUCAUGCCAAAGGUGCAAUGACACCUCCUUACUGUGUGGGGCAGCGCCCCGGUGGAGGUCAAGUCAACCCAUUGCAUGUGGACCAGGCACGUACAAACACACGAGGGAGGAUUCAGCCUGUAUUGCGUGUCCAGUAGGUCAUUACUGUGAAGGAGGUGUAGCUAUACCUUGUCCUGCAGGGACUUAUGGUCCUAAAGAAGGUCUGACGGACUGCACAGUGUGUCCUGCAGGGUUUUACUGUCUGGAAGGUAGCAGCACCCAGUUGCUGUGCGCACCAGGCUACUACUGUGAAGAGGGCACCACGACCCCCCACGGGUCACCUUGUCCAGCUGGUACAGCCGGAGAACAACUGGGGCAGACAAGUAGGGCAGCUUGCAAAAGAUGCAGCGAAGGACGGUUUUGUCCCGCAGGCUCUUCAUCUCCUGGCUUGCCUUGUGCUCGAGGAAGGUUCUGUCCUGCCGGCACACUGGAGGAAGUCACCUGUCCUCCCGGCACCUUCACCCCUAACCAGGGAGCCAUAAGUUUGAGGGACUGUCUCAAAUGCCCCGCUGGAUUCUAUUGUCUUGAGGGGACAAGCGACCCCGUGCCGUGUCCACCGGGCUCCUUCAACCCCUUGGAGGGUCAGGCCGAGUCAGCCGACUGCAGAGAAUGCCAUGCGGGGAAAGCCUGCACUCAGGUUGCUCUGAGAGCUCCGGAUGUGGACUGCAUGCAAGGAUUUGUGUGUCCACCUGGUUCUUCUAAACCCAAUGCUCAGAUCAAUGCAUGUCCACCAGGGACACUGAGCAACCGCACGGACCUCACAGAUCGUUCACAGUGUCAGCAGUGCCCGGCCAGAUAUGCCUGUCUUCGAGGAACAGGUGGUGUCCAGAGAGCCCCCCUCUCCUGUUCUGCAGGACAUUAUUGUCCACCUGGUACCAAAUUCCCCACCCAGUACAAAUGUCCCGAGGGGACUUGGAGCGGUCAAAGCGGAUUAGAAAGUGAAAGUGAAUGCCAGCCGUGCCCGCAGGGCUGGUACUGCCUGGUCGGGUCGGGAUCGCCUUCUGGACGAUGCAGCUCUGGACACUACUGUCCUGAAGGGACGGCAUAUGGCACCCAAUUUCCUUGCCCAACAGGCAUGUACAGCCUCCACAUGGGCAACAGGCAGAAAGAAGACUGCCUAGCCUGCCCUGAAGGCUCAUUCUGUCCGGAAGGCACCUCCAAACCUGCCCCCUGCCCGCCCUCAACGUUUCGCCAUCUGAAAGGAGGUCAGCGACUGGAGGACUGCUUCGAUUGCCCGGCGGGCUAUUUUUGUGCCCACUCAAGCACUGUUAACCCAAGAGCAUGUGGAGCCGGAAGCUACUCUGACGAAGGCUCAGCAGAAUGUUCCCCAUGCUUGCCGGGCCACUUCUGCAGUAACGAGACCACGAGUGAGGAAGCCAUGCUCAGCGUCAUGGUGUGCCCCCCAGGUUUUCUCUGCUCGCAGGGCUCGGCUCGAGACCCUCGUCGCUCAGCCACCCUCUGUCCUCGUGGCUUCUACUGCCCGGGGGGAGGCAUUGAUCCCAACCCUGUUCCCUGCCCGAAUGGUACUUACAGUGAAUAUCCUGCUUUACGUGAUGUCAGUGAGUGUGUGCCUUGUCCUAAAGGGAAGUACUGUUACUCCCAACAGCCUGAGGAGCGCCCUAUCACCAUGCCUACGGGCCUUUGUCCCGAUGGCCAUUACUGCCCACUGGGGACUGGGUACCCGUAUUCUUACCCCUGCCUCGCUGGACAGUACAGGAGCAAUGCAGCAGGUCACAGUGGAGAAGUGUGUGUUUCAUGUCCAUUCAGACACUACUGUGGCAAACCAGGAGUUCACACACCCGCAGUUUGCCCUCAGGGAUUUUACUGUCCCGAGGGCUCCUCCUCUGCCCAACCUUGUCCUGAGGGAAGUUUUGGAUCACACUCUGCUCUGGGUGAUGAAGCUGAGUGUUCCCCUUGUGGAGGAGGCAGAUAUUGCACCGGUGUGGGCCUUGCAGAGCCAACUGGUAUCUGUGAAGGGCGAUUCUACUGCAGAGAGGGAUCCAAGUUUGCAACUCCAGUGGACGGCAAUACGGGUGGCUUCUGUCCACCAGGAAGCUACUGCCCUCCAGCUUCCUCCUCUCCCUUCCCCUGCCCGCCCGGCACCUUCAGCAACGUCUCUGGUCUCAGCAGACCUGAGGACUGUGUCCGCUGUCCACCGGGUUUGUAUUGUCUAGGUUCCAACAACACAUCGCCAUCAGGCCGGUGUUCUCCUGGGUAUUACUGCACCAGCGGUUCAGCCUCGCCGACUCAGAAUGAAGCAGAGCAGGGUCACUAUACUUUGGGGGGUGCAUCCAGGCCUGAGCCAUGUCCUCUUGGGACUUUCCAGCCGGACCAAGGUGCAACGUCAUGUAUUGCAUGUCAAGGAGGCCGAUUGUGCAACCAGACAGGCUUGUCCCAGCCACUGCUUUGUCCAAAGGGACACUACUGUCCUCUGGCAUCCUCUGUUGCUCACCCAUGUCCUCCAGGCUUGUACUCGGAUCAACCCGGUGGGGAAGACGUGCAGCACUGCCGGGCGUGCGAGGCGGGAUGGUUUUGCAGCAAGGCCGGACUCCCAGCUCCGGAGGGCCUCUGUGAUGCUGGACACUACUGCACAUCUGGAGCCUCCACAGCUGUUCCAGUUGCUCUGAACUCAGGGGGAAUGUGUCCAGCCGGGUACGUUUGCCCCAGAGGGACUAAACACCCUCAGCAACAUCCCUGUCCUCUGGGUACCUGGAGUAACACAGUGGGGGCCCAAAACGUAUCUUUUUGCCUGCUCUGCCCUGCUGGACUCUAUUGCAACACGACUGGACUCAUUCAGCCUUCUGGAUUAUGUUACACCGGCUUCUAUUGCUCAGGGGGGGCAGUGUCUCCAAAACCUUUAGAUGGUAUCACAGGGGACAUUUGUCCAGUUGGACACCACUGUCCCAUGGGCUCAGCCUCCCCUACGCUCUGUCCUGAUGGAAUGUCCACCAACACAACAGGUGCAGAAACAUGUUAUGAAUGCCCCCCCGGGAGCUACUGUCUACCCGGGGAAGGCAUCCAGCGCUGCCCUUUAGGCCACUAUUGUCUUGGAGGAGGGGGUGAAGGUAUCCUUCCCUGCCCUCCUGGCACAUACAACCCUCAGUUAGGCUUGAGCCAAGUGGAGCAGUGCCUCGUCUGUCCAGCAGGCUUCUACUGUGAGGACUGGGGUUUGCCUGAACCCACCGGGCCCUGCAAUGCUGGUUUUUACUGCAUAGCAGGUGUAAACGCCCCAACGCCAGAUGGAAACUACAGCACUGGAGUCGGGGGAGCGUGUCCAGAGGGAAGACUCUGCCCCGAAGGCACCGGUCUCCCCCUCACCUGUCCCCCAGGGACCUACUCAGACAGGCUUCGUCUGACUGAACUUAGCGGCUGUAGCUUGUGUCCAGCGGGUCACUUCUGCGCUACUGAAGGUCUGAGGCGGCCUUCUGGAAAGUGUCAGCAAGGAUUUUACUGUCCAGGUGGAGACACAGCAGCCACAGGCUCUGUAGGAGGUCUUUGCCCAACUGCUCAUUACUGCCCAGAAGGCAGCGCAAGCCCAGGGCCCUGCCCGGCGGGAUCCUAUGCAAACCUCACUGGCCAGUCUGUGUGUUCUCCCUGCCCUGCUGGCUACUACUGCCCGGAAAAGACCAGCGACUUCAGACAGUUUCCCUGUCCACCUGGGUUCUAUUGUCCUGAUGGUACAAGGCAUGCCACCCAGUACCCGUGUCCUCGUGGCUACUACAACCCAGAACUCAUGACCCAAAGCCUGGACAGCUGCCUGCCCUGCCCUCCCGGACACUACUGUGAGAAAGAGAGGCUGACCAAAGUGUCUGGAAAAUGCAAAGCUGGUUGGUUUUGCGUGUCAGCAGCCUGGAACUCGCAACCAUUCGACCUCGACAAUUACACCAAUGCUAACUGUCUGUGCCCAGCCACUGCCACGGGGGGACGCUGCCAGGCGGGCUUUUACUGCCCUGGAGGGAGCUCAGAGCCUCUGCCUUGUCUGCCUGGAGCCUUCUGUAACAUCUCGGGUUUGGCCUUGCCCAUGGGUCCCUGUUCUCCAGGUUAUUACUGUGUAGGGGGAGCCACCGAGGCCAAGCCAACAGAUGGGGAAACAGGCAGCAUCUGUCCAAGUGGGACAUAUUGUGUUGAAGGCUCAAGGGAACCAGAGCUAUGUCCUCCUGGCACUUUUUCACCAGUUCCUGGUCUGACCAGCAAGGCUGACUGUCAGCGUUGUCCUGCAGGGUUCUACUGCCGUGGACCGGGCCUCAGUGCGCCCUCUGGGCCCUGUGAUCAAGGUUAUUGGUGCCCGCCUGGUCAAACUGUAGCCCAAGCUCUGCCAUGUCCACUUGGUCAUUUUUGCUUAAUGGGUAGUGCAGCCCCAGAGCCUUGCCCCUUCGGAACCUACCAGGACAGGGAAAAGCAAUCAGCCUGCGUCGCUUGUGAGGCAGGUUACUUCUGUGAUAUCCAACUGGCUGGAGCCAAUGGCUCCUUGAAGAGGCCCUGCCCAAAAGGACAUUACUGCCCUGCAGGUGCACGCAUGCCAGAGCUGCACCCUUGCCCUGUAGGCUCAUACAACCCAAGACAGCACGCAGACAGCCUGCUAGCCUGCAUGCCGUGUCCUAGUGGACAGUUCUGUCCUUCGCCAGGACUUUCACAGCCGGCAGGGCCGUGCCUUGCUGGUUAUUGGUGCAAAGCUGGGGCGUCCUCUCUAACUCCAUUGGACGGACUCUCUGGUUCUAUGUGUCCACCUGGUCAUUACUGCCCGGCAGGCACCACUGCUCCUUCGGCCUGCCCAAAGGGAACAUGGUCCAACAGCUCAGGCCUGCGGAGACAGGAGGACUGUCAGAGCUGUCAUGGGGGAUUUUAUUGUGACGCUGCUGGCCUUACUGCUCCUACUGGACGCUGCAGUGGAGGGUAUUAUUGUCUGGGGGGAGCUGUCACACCCACUCCCACUGAUGGAAUCACAGGGGGAUCUUGUCCCGAGGGUUCCUACUGCCCUGAAGGAACCACAGAACCCAUCCGAUGUGACCCAGGCACCUAUGUUGCCAUGACACAUGCGACUGAGUGUGAGGCCUGUCCGCCGGGCUGGUACUGCGUGACUGGCUCCUUGCACCUGUGUCCUGCAGGGUUCUAUUGCCCUGAAAGAACCGGCUAUGACGUCAGAAGCUGUCCACAGGGAACGUACGGCUCUGACCCGGGAUACUGGUCUGUCUCCCAGUGCAAGCAGUGUGACAGCGGCCAUUACUGCUCCUCCACAAAUGCCACAGCUGUCAGCGGAGCGUGUCAGGAAGGAUAUUACUGCUCACGUGGAAACACCUCCCCCCGCCCUGUCUCACAGGCUGCAGCAGGAGAGGGAGGACCGUGUCCUGUCGGUCACUUUUGCCCCCCGGGAAGCGUGCAUCCCCUGCCAUGUCCUCCUGGUACUUUCUCCAACCUCACCAAAUUAGUCUCCCAGGUGGGUUGUGAGCUGUGUCUCCCGGGUUACUACUGCGAUACUGCAGGCCUUUCAGCGCCCUCUGGUAAAUGCCGGGGGGGCUUCUUCUGCCCAGGUGGUGCGUAUCGGCCUGACCCACGACCGUGCCCCAAAGGUUAUUACUGUUCCGAGGGCUCCGCCGUUCCUCAGCCGUGCCCCCGGGGAACCAUCAGUGGCGAGGAUGGCCAAGCCAGCUGUAGCACCUGUCCCCAGGGCUUCUACUGUCCGGAGAGCAGCAAUGGGUCCUUGUAUGAGUGUCCGGUGGGACACUUCUGCCCGGUUGGGACCUGGUCCAAAUACCUCUACUCAUGUCCAGCUGGGUCCAUCAACCCUCACACUCGGAUGGCAAAGGCCCAGGACUGCGUACCCUGCCCACCAGGUUUGUUCUGUGCAUUUCCUGGAAUGUCUGUUGCAUCAGGCCAGUGUCUUGCUGGCUAUUACUGUCAGUCCGGUGCUCAGUCACCCACGCCAGCCGAUGGCGGUGUGACAGGUGACCUCUGUCCCGAGGGCCAUUAUUGUCCUCAGGGUUCCUCAGCACCAUUACCAUGCCCGUUAGGACAUUACAGCAACAAAACCAGGAACAGGGAAAUCUCUGACUGCGUCCCGUGUACUCCUGGGUUCCUGUGUGCCACCAGAGGGCUCUCUUUCCCUUCCCACUUGUGUUCCGCUGGCUCAUACUGUCCUAGCUCUAAUACUUCAUUACUCUGUCCUCCUGGAAGCAUGUGUCCACCUGGAUCUCAUAGACCAGUACCCUGCUUGCCAGGGACGUACCAAAAUGAGCCAGGGCAGGCGGAGUGUGUUACUUGCCCAGCAGGAUUUUACUGUGCUGGCUCCAUGGAUGAUGAUGACGACAGGAAAAAGCCUGGGAUUCAGACUCCCACGCUGUGUCCUCAAGGAAACUAUUGCCCACCAGGGUCACAGUCUGGUGUAGCCUUUCCAUGCCCAGCUGGCACCUUCAGCAGGCAGAUGGGCUUGUCCAGCGAAUGGGGCUGUGAGCCCUGCCCUCCUGGGACGUACUGCGCCUCCUCUGGACUGACAGCCCCAACUGGGCUCUGCUCUCCGGGUUACUUCUGCGCCCACAGGUCUGUCACUGCCCAGCCGCAGGGUGAUCCCACAGGGGGACACUGCCCUGCAGGGUCCUACUGCCCAAGGGGUAGCGGUAGCAGGGUGCCAUGUCCUGCUGGCACUUUCAGCUCCGUAGAAGGGGCGACGUCCGUGGAGGAAUGUCUGCUUUGUUUGCCCGGCCAUUAUUGCGCCAAAGCUGGCCUCUCUGCUCCAUCUGGUCCCUGCAAGUCUGGAUUCUAUUGCACAGAGGGGUCCACAACUGACAUGCCCUGGGGUAACAACACAGGAGGCAGUACGUCUUCAAUGCCACUUCCCGGGGAGUCAACACCGGGUCAGACCCAUGGAGACAUGUGUCCUGCGGGCCACUAUUGUCCUGAAGGGAGCACGAUGCCAAGCCCCUGUCCUCCAGGCACUUUCCAAGGGAAGUCAGGGGCUGAGUCCGAGGCCGACUGUGAAGCUUGCUACGCUGGGUCCUACUGCCCCUCGUGGGCGCAGACCUCUGUGGACCUCCGGUGUCCUGCAGGGUGGUUCUGUCCAAUGGGGUCCGUGUCUGGACAUCGGCCAGGAUUUCAGUGCCCGCCUGGCCACUCCUGUCCAUAUGGUAGCGCUGAGCCGGCCAUCUGUGGCCCGGGAUCUUUUCAAUCUUCAUCUGGCCAGUCUGUGUGCAACAUCUGCCCACCAGGUUUUUACUGUGUAGAGCGUUCAUCUGAGCCCUCUCCCUGUCCCAUUGGCACUGUCGUUUCAUCAUCUGGCAGGACGUCAUCCAGCGAGUGCGCCCCCUGCCCCUCUGGCUUUUUCUGCAACAGCACUGCUCUCACAGAGCCCUCCGGACCCUGCAGUCCAGGAUAUUUUUGUUCAUCCGGGUCCCCAGAGCCAUCUCCCGUCUCCCAGCCCCACGGAGACAUCUGUCCUGCUGGACAUUUCUGUCCUCUCGGUAGUCAAUCCACCAAACCCUGUCCUAUUGGCAGCUUCCUCCCUGAACCCGGAGCUUCCUCCCCCUCUCACUGCCACCCCUGUCCGCCUGGGAAAUACUGCGUCAGCCCUGGAGCCUCGCAGCCUACAGGUUUGUGUUCGGCGGGGUUCUUUUGCACCGGAGGUGCAGACAAUCCGACACCACAGGCCAACCCUCUUUUAUUGAUGUGUCUACAUGAAAUUCUGGACAUUUACUACCCAAAGAAAGACAACGUAUCCUGGCUGUACAACAUGUCGUGCUUCUACAACUCCUGCAAUGCUGAGGGAGACUCCAAGUGGGUCAAAGUGGAGGCGCCUCCCCGGCACUCAGACUCAGACCUCCAUAUUAUGACUCACUCACCGCAACGCCUCAAGAGUCCACAUAAUGGGACAUGUGCCACCUACAGAGGAGAUUUAUGCCCCAAGGGUUUUUAUUGUCCUCUAGGUUCUGCGUACCCCCGUCAGUGCGAAACCGGCUCCUCCUGCAACCAAACUGGCCUGGAAGCCCCAUCAGAGCCCUGUCCUGCAGGAUACUACUGCCCCAGCACUUCCCAAGACCCCCACGCCCACCUCUGCCCUGCAGGACACUACUGCCCUCUUGGCACACCUCUUCCUGUGCCAUGUCCUCUCGGGACUUUCCAAAGUUCCCGUGGUGGCCCCUCAAGGGAGUCUUGCCAGCCAUGUCCUCUGGGCCAUUACUGUCACCAGAGAGGCUUGACCCAAGCCAGUGGCCAGUGUGCAGGCGGCUACUACUGUCCACCGGGACAGAGUUCGGAGAGGCCUCCACAACACAUCUGCUCGGUGGGACACUACUGUGAGAAGGGCAGUAUGGAACCAAAACCUUGCCCUCCGGGCAGCUUCCAGCGCAUGCAGGGUCGGGACAGCUGCAUGACUUGCCCUGCUGGCUUCUACUGCUCAGAUCAAGGAACGUCUUCCCCACGUCUUUGCGAGAGAGGAUUUUACUGUCAGAGCGCAUCGUCACAUCAACGCCCGUGCCCAGAGGGCUUCUAUGGAAACCUGACAGGCUUGGUUGAAGAUCGCCAGUGCUCGCUGUGUGAUCCAGGGAUGUUCUGCAGAGGAUCGGGGAGGACUUUUCCCAGCGGCCCGUGUGCUGCAGGGUAUGUUUGUGUUGGGGGAGCGUCUGAACCGUCCCCAGUGGACAAUCAAACCGGCUUCUUGUGCCCUGCUGGCUUUUUCUGCUCUGUGGGGACUUUUGUACCUCGACCAUGCCCCAAGGGAACAUUCAGUGAGCGAACCGGACUGGUGGAUGAAUCUCAGUGUCGCAGUUGCAGCCCAGGCUUCUACUGCUCAGAGGCAGGCCUCUCAGCGGUCUCCGGACCAUGCCUUCCUGGCUUCUACUGUCUGGACGGCUCUCAGACGGCUGCACCAAUAUCGAGUGUAGCUGGCGGUGUAUGUCCAGCAGGCUAUUACUGUGCAGAGGGCAGCAGCGUUCCCUUACCCUGCCCGGCUGGCUCCUUCCGGAAUGAGACAGGAGGAAAAGGCAAAGACGACUGCAAGACUUGCCCUCCUGGCUUCUACCAAGAUUUAUCAGGCCAGACGGAGUGUAGUCGAUGCCCUGCUGGCUUCCACUGCGAGACCCACAGAUGGAGCUCCACCAGGGGGAGCUUUUCAGGGCUCUCCAGCCCUCUGCCCUGCCCAGCUGGCUUCUUCUGUCCCAGGGAGAGAGCAGACGGUCGUCCGGUCCCUUGCCCCAGAGGCACAUAUGGCCCCAGUCAGGGUCUUACCUCUGAAGGUGAGUGCUCAGUGUGCCCUGCAGGUCACUUCUGUGGCUCUGAAGGUUUAGUGGAGCCCUCUGGACGGUGCACUGCUGGAUAUCUUUGCCUAGCGGGGGCCUCGGUGCCCAACCCCACUGACAACAGUAGCGGGUCUCUCUGCCCUCCGGGGGUGUUCUGCCAACAGGGACUUAAAGCAGGUGCCUGCCGGGAAGGGUUUUAUUGUGGCUGGGGUUCAGGCAGAGUAGAUGAGACUGUGUGUCCCGCUGGGUUCUUCUGCCCUGGUGGAACACCAACGCCCAUUCCCUGUCCUGCUGGAGCAUUUAGCUCCAGAGCGGGUAACUCCCAUCUGAGCAACUGUACUGAGUGUACCGCAGGAUACUACUGUCAAGUCGAAGGAACCGUGCAGCUGACAUUGUGUCCCACUGGAUACUACUGCCCCCCAGGAAUGACACAAGGACAGGGCUUCCCCUGUCCAGCUGGUACUGUCCAAAACCAGCUUGGGGCCUCCAGUCUUGAUGCUUGCCUACCCUGCCCUGCUGGAAUGUUUUGUUCCCAGCCUGGGUUAUCGCAACCUACGGGACCGUGUGAGUCUGGAUAUUACUGUCCUGCUGGAUCGACAGGCUCAAACUCUUCUGAGUUUCAGAGUAAUUCAACCAAAAGCCAUCUUUGUCCCUCUGGCCACUAUUGCCCUGCUGGAACCAAAAAUCCAAUUCCGUGCCCCGCAGGCUCUCUAUCCAUCUCUCGAGGUCUAAAGAGAGUUGAGGACUGUCCCCCCUGCCGCCCUGGACGGUUUUGUGAUAAACCUGGGAGUACAGAGCUCUCUGAUGCUAUUCCUUGUCAUGCCGGCUACGUUUGCCUGGGCGGAAGCCCCAGCCCCACCCCAUCCGACGGUUCUCAUGGCUACCAGUGCCCUGCCGGCUACAGCUGUCCUGUUGGCUCAGCCAGAGCGCUGCCAUGUGAGCCAGGCACGUACAAUCCAGCUCCUGGAGCAUCCGAGUGCAUUGUAUGCCCCAGAGGAAUGAUGUGCUCCUUCCCAGCCACACUGGAGCCUGCCCUCUGCACACUUGGUCAUUUUUGUCCUGUUGGAACCGCUCUGCCUCAACCUUGCCCUUUAGGGACUUUCAACAACCAGACAGGUGCACACUCCCGCUCUGUCUGCACAGCCUGCCCCCCUGGACUCUACUGUAGCACAUAUGGAGCACCAGCCCCACAAGGUUCUUGUCUGCAAGGCUAUUUCUGCCAAGGUGGAGCCGCGGGACCAGCUCCACAGAGCACAGCUAACUUCCCUAAGAAUGGGCCCUGCCCCGCAGGUCACUUUUGCCCGGCGGGGUGUCUCGCCCCAAUUCCUUGCCCUCUCGGCUCUGUCCGCAACAGCACUGGAGGCGUGUCACUGGAGAGCUGCUCGACUUGUCCUCCAGGUCACUAUUGCGCUACUGAAGGUCUCUCCAAGCCAAGCGGGCCCUGUGCCGCCGGUUUCUACUGCCCUUUGGAAUUCUCUUCAACCGCUCCUUACACCUUGGCGUGUCCCAAAGGCCACUACUGCCCGCAAGGUUCCGCUGUGGCCCUUCCGUGUCCCGCGGGGGAGUUCCAGCCACAGCAAGGCGCAGACCGCUGCAUCCCCUGUCGACCUGGCUUCUUUUGUGAGGACGCCAUCGUAGGAGAGCCUCGACUCUGCCCACCACACUCAUUCUGCCCAGCAGGUACCAUGGUGCCUCGUCCGUGUCCAAAUGGAUCUUACACUGACCCAAACAAGGGGGGACUACAGGAGGAUAAAGAGUGUUUACCCUGCCCCCCAGGGAGGUUCUGCAGAGCUGGCAGGAUACAAGGUGCAUGUGCUGACGGGUACCUUUGUCUUUACGGGAGUGCUGAAAUGACCCCCCAGGGAUCAAUACCUGACCUGACGCUGUGUCAGUGGGGUGUGCAGUGUGCUGGACCGUGUCCACCAGGGUUCUACUGCCCUGAAGGAACAGAAAAGGCCAUCUUGUGUCCGGAAAACACCAUCAGAAGCUACCCAGGCGGUGCCAGCGUGCAGGACUGUGCAGCAUGUCCACCACGGCACUGGUGUCAGCCUGGAGAGCCGGAGCCUCGUCUGUGCCCUGCUGGUCAUUACUGUGACGGUUUGCCUGGAAGUGACAUUAAUGGAUGGAGGGGACCCAAGCCUUGUCCCGUGUUCACCUAUGGAGCCUCCACCGGAGCUGGCAGUAAAGACAACUGCCUUCCCUGCCCUCCUGGAUCCCAUUGCAACCGUACAGGACUUGUAGACUACACCAGCACGCUAUGCCCACCUGGAUUUUGGUGCAGUGGGUCUGGAUCCCCCAUCUUAUGCCCAGCAGGCACUAAGAGGACCCUUCCUGGCGCUGCUGAUCCCAGUCAAUGUGAGCCUUGUGCUGGGGGGACCUUCUGCCCAGACCCUCAGGCUACCGGGCAGCCCAAUAUGGAGGGCAUACCCUGCAGGGCCUCUUAUGAAUGCCCCUCAGGUUCAGCCUCAGAGAAGCUAUGCAGAGCCGGCUCAUACUGCCAAGCCCAGACUGCUGAGCCUCAAAUCUGUCCAGCAGGUUAUGUUUGUACCGAGGGGUCGCACUCUUACAAUCUCCCUCAACAACUCUGUCCAUAUCCCUACUACUGCCCCCCCAAUAGCUCUUCAAUGAAGUCCUGCGAUGGAGGCUUAAAGCCUGUCAAAACCACUGGGCUUAGAGGGUCCAAAAGCCUCUGCUGCAGAGUAUGUGAGGAGGGCACAUAUCGUCCUGACCUAUCGGCUGUCGUGCAAUGCCUGUCAUGCCCACAGGGAUAUUUCUGCCCCCCAGGCACAGACAACUACAAGAGUAACCCCUGCCCUCGGGGGUAUGUGUGCCCCUCUGGGUCCGUACGACCAACACCCUGCCCCCCUGGCUCCUUUGGCAACGCCACCCAUGCGGAGAAGCUCCAAGACUGUCACCCAUGUCCGGCGGACACGUUCAACCACCUGCAUGGCCACACAGCCUGCUUCCCUUGUGGCAGCUCGUCCACAUCGACACCAGGUUCUUCAUCAUGUGCCUGCAUUGGCAAAAACCGUGCCUUUCAGCACUCAGAUGGUUCAUGCUUGUGCAGAACGGGCUUCAUCUUUUAUAAUGAGCUGGACUUCAAAAGCUCUGCUUCUGACAGCGAGUUGGACUGCCAGCCUGAGAUGAAUCGGCGGUGUGCUGCAGGGCAGGUUCGUCUUGCAGCAUCCAGAGAGUGUGUAUCACCUUCCCUUCACUCCUGUAAUGUAACCUGCGGACCGCAUGGAGGAACCCUGGAUGUGGAGAUGGGGAUCUGCCACUGUCAGCGAUACGUGUCGGCCGAGGAGCUGUGCAGCACUUCCUGCCUCUCCAAAAUGCCACAGCUUUCAUCCCACUUCUCCCCAGAUGGGCAUCUGAUUCUCAGUGUUAGAGAAAAAGACGGCACGGUGUGGACCAAGACUUUAUUGGACAUCGUAGGACCAGAUCGCCAUGCACAGGACAUUAGGAAGAUCCAUUUGGUUGAGUUUGACUCUCAAGGAGUAUUUGGUUGGAUUCCUACACAAAGACAGGACAUUGAGCUGUUUCUCUCAGAAUCAUUAGACAUCUCAGCUGCGACAAAUAGAAAGAGGAGAAGCACUGGAGAUCCCCAGGAGUUACUACUACCUCGAAUCCCAAACCCAGUGGCCUGUCUGUCCACUGGUGACAUGCUAAUUUUCCGUCUAACCAUAAAUCACACAGAUCGCAAUCUCAGCCACUUCCCCGUCUACGAUAAAGACCACUUGUUCAACAGUAACCCCAGCUGGGACUUUGGGGUCUUCAGACGUCUUCAGACACUCAUGAAGCAGUCAAAUCUCAAUAACACUUGGUUUGCCCAUGUCUUCUCCCAAACGGGAAAAUAUGCAUUCAUGGACAGCGCUGUCCCACAUUGGAGUUUGGUGGCGGUGGUGAGCGAGGAUGGGACAGAGUGCGACCCGCGGGCUGCCACCUUUCAGCCCAUGACCCCGACACAGCUUGUCAGGUUCGGAGUUGUCACUCAGCAUCGACUAAACCUCCUCCCGGAUUGGGGAGUGAUCACAGGCCUCCUAAGUCUACUGUUAGUGCUGGUUGUGGUGGUGACCACUACCGUGGUGGUGCUUUGGCCCAGCAAGGCGAAGCUGGUCUGUGGUCAGUGGAGGACAAAGCCCAAGUGGCGCAGUCUCGGUGACCCCCCUCAUCCGGUGUGCAUUUGCACUGGAGACAGGUUGUGUGCAGGUAGUAGAGGUGUAGCGGAGGGAGCGGAAGGCGAGGAGUCUGUCCUUUCUAAGGGAGGAAUGAUGUCGGAGCGCUUUGAUUUGGAGGAGUUCAAUGUAAAGACUUUGUACGACAAACUGGAGGACCAGAACCUUCAUGUGGCCUCGCAGCUGGCUCGGCAUCGCAAGGACACACAGGAGUUUUAUCGGAAUAUCUGCCAACAGGUUGAAGCACUACAGCACGUCUUUGAGAAUAUGGAUGGCAAGAAGCUAAGUCUGCUAAAAGAGAUGCUUGCAUCCCAGAACGCGAUGAGGGACAAUCCAUACAACAGCUCUGAAAAAAGGAUAUAUGAACAAGCCGGGGACUCCGCAGCAGUACUGGGAGUUGUUCUCAGGUCAGUGGAGGCACUGCUGAAUAAACUCAAUGGAAGCACUUGGCAGGCCCGGGAUCUGCAACCUCCUCGUGCCAGGGAAGCACCAGUGAGGCAUGCUGGUGUCAACACCAGUGACACCAGUACCACACCAGCACUACGGGAUCCAUCAAUGGAUUUGACUGAAAUGGAAGCACCAGGCCAUUCACACGGCACAGAGCCUCAUCUAAGUGACGUGGACCUAGCCAAGCUAGUCUGCAUUACCCCCCUAUGCAAGACUCUACAAGAGAUCCAACAGCCCUUCCAAAAUUUCCCCACAGCCCCUCCUGGGCAAACUCUCCCUAACGUGAUUGGUGAGUCAUCCCAGGAGAACACUGACGUGCGGCUUAUUCCAAGCGCCCUCGACAGCCUCUCACCUCGCCACUCAGCCGUCUUCCUGUUUGGUUGCCGGGUGAUGGAGCUCCUUGAAAAAUGCUCCUCCGUGUUCCCCUCUGUGCUCCUCAUGCCAGCCAAGUCCGUCCCGCGUUGGUGCUGCGAUAACAGUCUGCUGUCGCAUUGCUCGGGGGACUUUUAUUUUGACGCCAGUGGUCAAGUCCUCUAUCUGAAAGAGGCCAAGCUGGAACACAUCGGGCAUUUUAUCGCCACCAUCCUUCAAUCCAUGGCCCACGUAGCGUCAUCAGGACUGAGAGCCCAAAGCUUCAUGCAAGUGCUUCACGAGGCCAUAUCAGCUCUGAGCCUGCAGCUAUUCAACAUGUCUUUCACGCAGAGCACAGCAGAGCACGGCGCACUGGGAGAGGAAUUUCUCAAUACAAGCGUUCCCAAAGCAGCACACCUUACUGAGCAGGUCUUGGCUGCAAGGCUCGAAAAAUACAGAUAUUCAAUAUUAGAGCAGCUCAUUGGAAGGCUUGGUGCAAAGCCACCUGAGGACAGAGAGACAGACUCCUGCCUUGCUCUCCUGGUUUGCACACCUGUUGCCUAUCAGCCGUUAGGCCUUCUUAAAACCGCUGCCUCGUCCUGCCUGCACGUUGCACGCUUAAUUUUUUCUCCUGGCUUUUUGUCUCUCUUUCCUGUAACUCGUAUUUCUGCUGGCUACUAGUUGAGCCACUUUGUGAUCCUUAUUUACUACUUUGUACUCUUUUGUUUGUAUGUCUUUAGUUGUACUUUGUUUUUCCUCCUCUGUAUUAUUAAAUACUAUUUUCCUUUAAAUGUUCCUUGGUCUGUGCUCUGGGGUCCUCAACACAUGGCACUAGUGCCACCCAGUGUAACAAAUUGUUCUUAUUGGACAUUUUUUUCGUGUGUUUUUAAGCAGUUUCAUGUUUUGCUUUUUUUUGUUAUACCCAAAACGAACCCAACCGUGACCUUAGAUGACCAUAGCUUAUGGCAUACAAUGGCGUGUAUACAAGAUGCACACACUUAUUAUUAUUUUUGUUUCCAAUACUUCCAUGAGGAGCUACAAAGAGCCCAUUGGACUCAUUGGCUACAGCAUAAGGAGUAUUGAAAAAUAAUUGUAAGAAGUCAAGCAUAUUACACCACAGGGUCCUUAAUUGGUUGUUUGUUUUAUAAUCCGUGCUUGUUAGGGCUUGUUUUGCUUUGUUGCUUUUCCAGGCGAAUUGUAUCAGCCUUCAUCAGUUGUACAUUCUAAUUGUUGUUUUCAGCCUUCAUGGUCGAGUGCGAAACAGUCCCCCAACUCCCAACACACAACCAACGGACCCCCGCUGAUGAAAUCUAUUCAUAUGCAGUAUUUAUAUGUUUAUCACUGUGUGUGUUUGCUCGUGGCUGUCAAUUGGUGGAUUGUGAUACUCGGAUAAAUUGCGCUGUGAUUACGCUGCAAACCAAUUUCCCCGCGGGUGCAAUUAAAGUAUCUAUUUGAAAGUAAAGCGGCUGAAAAGUGGACGCUGGUGCCCGCUGUGAACAUUUCCAAAAGCCCAGAGGGCGGGAGGAGGAGACGCUUGGUUUGUUUGACAAAUAACGGCAGGACACUUUAAUGCUGAUGGAAACACUUUUGCUGUGUCAACAUUAUGUGCACAACGCCUGCCGGUAAUUGCUGGAGUUCAUUUAUUAGUUCGUUUAUUAGUUUGUGAUCAUAUAUUCUGUUUCAUACACAUGACAGCGAAGAGGCACGCGUCAGCAAAUAUACCACGACUAUAAACCUUGGAUAUACUUAUAUACAAACGUGUUUGCCCUUUCCUUAUUGCUUAUUUUUUCCACCAAUGAUCAUCAAAUUGGUCUAUCGUCUACUAUCAUCUACUAUCGUCUACUAUCAUCUACUAUUGUCUACUAUCGUCUAUCGCCUACUAUUGUCUACUAUCAUCUACCAUCGUCUACUAUCAUCUACUAUCGUUUACUGUCGUCUACUAUCGUUUACUGUCGUCCAUCGUCUACUAUUGUCUACUAUCAUCUACUAUCAUCUACUAUUGUCUAUCGUCUACUAUGGUCUAUCACCUACUAUCGUCUACUAUCGUCUACUGUCGCCUACUAUUGUCUACUAUCGUCUAUCAUCUACUAUUAUCUAUUAUUGUCUACUAUCAUCUAUUAUCGUCUAUCGUCUACUGUCGUCUACUAUCAUCUACUAUUGUCUACUAUCGUCUACUAUCAUCUAUCAUCUAUCAUCUACUAUCACCUACUAUCUAUCGUCUACUAUAGUCUACGAUCGUCUAGUAUUGUCUACUAUCGUCUACUAUCAUCUCCUAUCAUCUACUACCACCUACUAUAUAUCGUCUACUAUCGUAUACUAUUGUCUACUGUGGCCUGCUUGUUAAAUUGACUUAACAAAUGGCGAAAACAUGGAAUGGUGGUGAACCUUACCAGGAGCGGCCGGCCAACCAAAAUGACCCCAAAGGUGCCACGACGACUCAUCCAAAAGGUCACAAAAGACCAGCAUCCAAAGAAUGAAAUUAAAGAAUGAAAUUAUGUAUUGCUAUACAGGCUGUACUCUGGCGACUCUAAAGUACAUCAAAGUUUACUUUUGAUGGUACUGUCCACCCAGAAGAUUAAUCGAGGCACACAUGGUUAAUUUUGACCAUUGACAGUUAUCAGCACGGAUCCUUUAAAGGAAGUUUUUAGGAAUUUAUGUUUGUAAAAUAUCCUUAGGUCUACCGUUUUACUUGAAUUGGUUCUUGGAAGGGCCCGAUGGUUUUAGCCUUGAGCUGAAAUCAAUUUGUUUAAGCAUCUUUUCAAACACUGUCGAAGUUCCUGCAUGGACUAACGAUAAUGGACUCAUUCAAAUAAACACACGUCAAUUUGCAGAAUGGUAAUGGAGGUCUGAGCCAACGGGGCGUCCGGGGGAGGGUAGAAAAUGAGAGUGAAGUCCAUUUGCAGUGCUUUCAAGUUUUAGUUCUGGAAGAAUAGUCAUUCAUGGCGGGUGUAGUUCACGACCCUAAUGACUCUACUUUGAGAUAUGCAAUUAUCAAGUUUCACUGACCUACAAUCAAUAUAAGACGUCUAACAUCUUUAACUGUUGUAUCCCUACCAGCAUAUGGGACUCCGGCGGAGGUAUGGUCGUUCCUAACACGUCUUCAUCCAUGAACCCCUCCUCCUCCGGGUUGCAUCCAUUAAAAUAGCUGUCUUUCCAGGUGGAGGAGGAGAUAGACCGCUUGAACCAGGCCUUCUUGGAGCUCAGCGUGCAGCUGCAGAGGAGUGCUCAUAAAGAGAGAGAAGACGAGAGGGCAUCCCCCCCAAGCCUGGGUCGUAAUGGAAC